rnacentral:rRNA from 1 species
GACGAACGCUGGCGGCGUGCUUAACACAUGCAAGUCGAACGGAGUGGCGAACGGGUGAGUAUUACGUGAGUAACCUGCCCUCAACUGUGGGAUAAGCCUGGGAAACUGGGUCUAAUACUGCAUAGUUGGGGAUGGGCUCGCGGCCUAUCAGCUGGUUGGGGGGGGGAGGGCCUACCAAGGCGGGGCAGGGUAGCCGGCCUGAGAGGGUGGUCGGCCACAAUGGGACUGGGAUACGGCCCAGACUCCUACGGGGGGCAGAAGUGGGGGAUAUUGCACAAGGGGCGCAAGCCUGAGGCAGGGACGCCGCGUGAGGGAUGAAGUCUUUCGGGUUGGAAACCUCUUUCGGUACAGAACGGGUAUGUGCAGAAGAAGCGCCGGCUAACUACGUGCCAGCAGCCGCGGUAAUAC